GAACCCUUUCUUGCUGACACCCUGGGGGAGGACGUGCCGGACACGUCGUAGACACUCACUAGCCAGUUGUGAAGAAAGCAGCGUGUUUUCCCAUGUGGCCUUGGACAGCCCAGUUGACCUCGCCAGGCUUUCUAUUUCCUUUGCUGCGAGAUGCCGGAGCGGGCCAGCACGGGCUCUGGUUUUCCUCUCAGCUCGAGUAUUUUUCGGGUCGAGAAGGAACUUUCUAAAUUUAACCUUGCCGCUUCCAUGUCAGCAUGUUCUGGGCCAUGCUGGAGAACUUGGCGCAUAGCCAAGGAUGACCUUGAAGUCCUCUCCUCCUGUGUCUACUUUGAGUGCUGGAAUUACAGGUGAGGAAACUAAGCCUUGGAGAGAGUCUCUAAUUCAGGCUGGCUUCCAACUUCCUAUGCAACCAAGGAUGCACUUGAAUCCUGCUGACUCUACCUCCUGAGUGCUAGACUUAAAGACUCCUGUCUCCAAGCCUGAUGACCUGAGUCAUCAGGGACUCACGCAGCAGAAGAACUGACUCCUGCAGGUUGCUGUCUGACCUUCAUAACAUGUUAUGGCACACAUGCCCCUACACUCCUUGAAGGGACACUAGGGAAAGCCUUGCUCUUCCCUCAUUCUCUCUGCCUUGCUAAAUCAUAAGAUUACAGUUCUAAGCUAAUCAACAAGAUCUACUCCCUAUUUUGGCCACUUCCUCCUCCUGAGGUUGACUACCAAGGUCCAGUUAUCAAAAGCCCCCUUUGGUUUACCUAAUUAACAGGUCUAAUUAAAAUUAAGCACCUCAUCCUAACAUGGGGUUUCCCCUUUUACCUUUAUAAAUUGCCAUUUGCCUAUGAGUCAAGUCUGUCUCCCCUCUAUCCAGAGGGAGUCCUUUGUCGUCCCCCCCCAAACAAAUACCCAUUCCUCCUUUCCAUUGGCCCUGCCCCUUCCCCUUCUCCCUGGUCCCUUGUCUCUUUUACCAUUACAUCCUAGCCCAUUCUCACACAGACCUCCCCUUCUUCUCCUUUUAAAAAUGACCCCUACAAGGUCAUUUACUACUGUUUUCCUGUUAAAGCAGUCACUUCAAUGUCUCUUCCCUGCUUAAUAAAGGAUCUCUU